UACGAGGGGGGCGAGCGUUGUUCGGAAUUAUUGGGCGUAAAGGGUGCGUAGGCGGUUCCGCAAGUCCUGUGUGAAAUCUUCGGGCUCAACUCGAAGUCUGCACGGGAAACUGCCGGGCUUGAGUAUGGGAGAGGUGAGUGGAAUUUCCGGUGUAGCGGUGAAAUGCGUAGAUAUCGGAAGGAACACCUGUGGCGAAAGCGGCUCACUGGACCAUUACUGACACUGAGGUACGAAAGCUAGGGGAGCAAACAGG
rnacentral:rRNA from 1 species